rnacentral:rRNA from 1 species
GAUGAACGCUGGCGGCGUGCCUAAUACAUGCAAGUAGAACGCUGAAGGAGGAGCUUGCUCUUCUGGAUGAGUUGCGAACGGGUGAGUAACGCGUAGGUAACCUGCCUGGUAGCGGGGGAUAACUAUUGGAAACGAUAGCUAAUACCGCAUGACAACAGUUAUUGCAUGAUAACUGUUUAAAAGGGGCAACUGCUCCACUACCAGAUGGACCUGCGUUGUAUUAGCUAGUUGGUGAGGUAACGGCUCACCAAGGCGACGAUACAUAGCCGACCUGAGAGGGUGAUCGGCCACACUGGGACUGAGACACGGCCCAGACUCCUACGGGAGGCAGCAGUAGGGAAUCUUCGGCAAUGGACGGAAGUCUGACCGAGCUACGCCGCGUGAGUGAAGAAGGUUUUCGGAUCGUAAAGCUCUGUUGUAAGAGAAGAACGAGUGUGAGAGUGGAAAGUUCACACUGUGACGGUAUCUUACCAGAAAGGGACGGCUAACUACGUG